rnacentral:rRNA from 1 species
GACGAACGCUGGCGGCGUGCCUAAUACAUGCAAGUCGAACGCAGUGGGGACGGGUGAGUAACACGUGGGUAACCUCCCAUCAGAGGGGAUAACACUUGGAAACAGGUGCUAAACCGAUACGGCUGGAUGGACCCGCUGUGCAUGAGCUAGUGUGUGAGGUAACGGCUGACCAAGGCCACGAUGCCUAGCCGACAUGGUAGGGUGAUCGGCCACACUGGGACUGAGACACGGCCAAGAGUCCUACGGGAGGCAGCAGUAGGGAAUCUUCGGCAAUGGACGAAAGUCUGACCGAGCAACGCCGCGUGAGUGAAGAAGGUUUGCGGGUCGUAAAACUCUGUUGUUAGAGAAGCGGUAUCUAACCAGAAAGCCACGGCUAACUACGUGCCAGCAGCCGCGGUAAUAC